rnacentral:lncRNA from 1 species
UACUAUUUAUUAGUGGCUUCUCCCCAUCUCUCUCUCUUUCUCUCCCUCCUCCUUGGCUUUGUUUUAGUCUUUGCUCCCCUUGGCCCAAAUUUUGGAGGCAUUAAUAAACUUUUGUUAAUAUCACCCAACAUCGUUCGAAAGCCCACUACGGCCUCAAACACCGCGGGACGGAAAGGUGGAGGAAGGAAUGCAAAUUGGGCGAUGGUGGAACGGGAAUGAAUCAUGUUGGGUUGUGGAUUUUUCUUAUUUUUGUUUUUCGUUUUAUUCUUUUUUGAGGUGUUGAAUUCGGUUUGGUGAAAUCGGAGCCUUGAUUUGGAGCUUUUAUCCCAGACGCGUCAUGUGAUGAAACAAAGACAUUGUGAUGUCAAGCUUGUUCUCGAAGACAUUGACGACAGAGUGGUACAUUGUGCUCCCGGAAUCAGAGUCUUUUGAAACCUAGUGAUCUGUGUGUGUCUGGGUGGUUGCAACGUUGAUCUAAUCCUGUUUCGGUAUCCUUGCCUAUGAAGCGUAGUUAGGUUGGAUGAGGGAUGCCGAUCUCCUGUGGAAAUUUGACCUCCAUUGUUUGCUUUAGGUUUUGUGGACAUGUGCAUGUAAUUUAGCUAUUUUUUGAGAAGCGUCUGAAGUGAUUACAGGCUUUCAAUUGAAAAGAUAGAGUUAUGCUCAUCUGCGCAGCUGAGAUGGGUUUCAACGUGGUAGUGCCUAUUAGAUUUUUCUCAAAAAGACGCAACUUCGCUCCGUACUUCUCAUUCUUGAUCAGUCGAUGUCACAUUUAACAGGGAUCGUGUAUUGUCUGAAACACAACGUUUUCAUCCGAUUCAAAUUCGUGCUCCGAUUUCAGUCAAGGUUGCAGUAUGUGAUUGUGUCGUGGAAUUUUGAAUUGUGGGUUGUAGUCUGGUCUCUGCUGAAUAUGGGCGAUUGUUUGUGUAGCUUGCAUUUUUUUUCUAAUGAUCCAAGACCUGAAACUCUCAUGACUUGAUACUUGGGAAAUCCAAACUCGUUAGGAAAGAGUUAGCUUGAGAAAGUUAGUCAUUCUAUUAAUCUUUUACCAAUAGGUUUAGAAUAAGUGGGUUCGUGCACAUAGACUCCUCUGUGCAAUAUUACCGUGUCGGACGGGUGCCAAAACUGAUGAAGCUUAAGCACCUGGUCCUUCAGUCUCUGAUUUAUCUUGUUCAAGGAAAAAAUGCAAAGUAGAUUUACACGAUUAGUUUCACAGGAACGCAAUCACGAUACCGAAAAGGACGAACGAGCUACUAGAAUACUCCGAUAAAUGUGAAUGAAUGAAUCACAACAAUCUUACUGUUUAUGUGAAUGUACACACACAAUAGGACAUGCCCUUCGACUUAAAGAGAUUGUCUGAGUUUUAUACCAAGUUUCAAGGUUCGUUUCCAUCUUGAAGCCGUCGUCUCGGGAAGUCUUAUUGUGGUAUCCCUUACUUGUAGGUAUCAAUUGAUCUCAGCUUGUACUUGCUUCUUUGAUGUGCUUCCUUCUAGGUCUGUUUCACAUGUACCAAUUCACUGCUGAAACCUAAACCUUGUUUUCUGAAUGGCUGCAGUGGAAAUGCCAGAGGACUUGCCGAAGGAGGUGGUGCCACCGUCAAAAAAAGGAAGAGGGCUGAGACAAUGAGUUCCCGAAUUAGUUCGAUACUUCUUUUUCUUUUUUGAAGUGUACUCUCCUCCUCUUGGUGGGUGAGAACACUAAUUAGGUGUCAUUACGUUGCACAUAAACAAUUAAUUUCGACCCGUUGUGUGUCUGAUUUCGACAUGUAUUCUGCUGCAUCUCAUUUCUGCCCCCGCGUGAUUUGGAAAUGCCCAUUCAACACAGCCUGAUAUUCGGAUCCUGGAAAGUUUUGAUUCAAAGUUUCAUUUCCUUGGUAUCCGACUUGGCACAGCAUGGCAACAACGUGCAUGAUUCUAGUCAAAAUCUGUUGAAUUUCGCAUGCAGUCCACUGCUACACAAAACAUAUAAACGAACUAACAAUCAAAAACAGAAAUGCUAUAAUGUUGAAGGAAUCCCAUCGUCACACCUAAUAGACAGGAAGUUCGGCCACUGAAGUGA